rnacentral:rRNA from 1 species
AAUAGAUACCCGGGUAGUCCACGCCGUAAACGAUGUCGACUUGGAGGUUGUUCCCUUGAGGAGUGGCUUCCGGAGCUAACGCGUUAAGUCGACCGCCUGGGGAGUACGGCCGCAAGGUUAAAACUCAAAUGAAUUGACGGGGGCCCGCACAAGCGGUGGAGCAUGUGGUUUAAUUCGAUGCAACGCGAAGAACCUUACCUACUCUUGACAUCCACGGAACUUAGCAGAGAUGCUUUGGUGCCUUCGGGAACCGUGAGACAGGUGCUGCAUGGCUGUCGUCAGCUCGUGUUGUGAAAUGUUGGGUUAAGUCCCGCAACGAGCGCAACCCUUAUCCUUUGUUGCCAGCGGUUAGGCCGGGAACUCAAAGGAGACUGCCAGUGAUAAACUGGAGGAAGGUGGGGAUGACGUCAAGUCAUCAUGGCCCUUACGAGUAGGGCUACACACGUGCUACAAUGGCGCAUACAAAGAGAAGCGACCUCGCGAGAGCAAGCGGACCUCAUAAAGUGCGUCGUAGUCCGGAUUGGAGUCUGCAACUCGA